rnacentral:rRNA from 1 species
UACGGAGGGGGCUAGCGUUGUUCGGAAUUACUGGGCGUAAAGAGCGUGUAGGCGGCCAGGUAGGUCAGCUGUGAAAACUCGAGGCUCAACCUCGAGACGUCGGUUGAAACCACCUGGCUAGAGUCCGGAAGAGGAGAGUGGAAUUCCUGGUGUAGCGGUGAAAUGCGCAGAUAUCAGGAAGAACACCCGUGGCGAAGGCGGCUCUCUGGGACGGUACUGACGCUGAGACGCGAAAGCGUGGGGAGCGAACAGG